AGUGAACGCUGGCGGUAGGCCUAACACAUGCAAGUCGAACGGCAGCACAGUAAGAGCUUGCUCUUACGGGUGGCGAGUGGCGGACGGGUGAGGAAUACAUCGGAACCUACUUUUUCGUGGGGGAUAACGUAGGGAAACUUACGCUAAUACCGCAUACUACCUACGGGUGACAGCAGGGGAUCUUCGGAUCUUGCGCGAUUGAAUGAGCCGAUGUCGGAUUAGCUAGUUGGCGGGGUAAAGGCCCACCAAGGCGACGAUCCGUAGCUGGUCUGAGAGGAUGAUCAGCCACACUGGAACUGAGACACGGUCCAGACUCCUACGGGAGGCAGCAGUGGGGAAUAUUGGACAAUGGGCGCAAGCCUGAUCCAGCCAUACCGCGUGGGUGAAGAAGGCCUUCGGGUUGUAAAGCCCUUUUGUUGGGAAAGAAAAGCAGCAGGUUAAUACCCCGCUGUUCUGACGGUACCCAAAGAAUAAGCACCGGCUAACUUCGUG
rnacentral:rRNA from 1 species